GACGAACGCUGGCGGCGUGCUUAACACAUGCAAGUCGAACGGAAAGGCCCUGCUUUUGUGGGGUGCUCGAGUGGCGAACGGGUGAGUAACACGUGAGUAACCUGCCCUUUACUUUGGGAUAACUUCAGGAAACUGGGGCUAAUACCUGAUAGGAGCUCCUGCUGCAUGGUGGGGGUUGGAAAGUUUCGGCGGUUGGGGUUGGACUCGCGGCUUAUCAUCUUGUUGGUGGGGUAGUGGCUUACCAAGGCUUUGACGGGUAGCCGGCCUGAGAGGGUGAACGGCCACAUUGGGACUGAGAUACGGCGCAGACUGCUACGGGAGGCAGCAGUGGGGAAUAUUGCACAAUGGGAGGAAGCCUGAUGCAGAAACGCCGCGUGCGGGAUGACGGCCUUCGGGUUGUAAACCGCUUUCGCCUGUGACGAAGCGUGAGUGACGGUAAUGGGUAAAGAAGCACCGGCUAACUACGUG
rnacentral:rRNA from 1 species